AAAAAUUAUGUUUGACAGGCACAAGGGCCUAAAAAAUGGUUUGGAUGAGUUGGUUCUUUUUGGAUUUUGAAAAUUUUAAGUCAAGUAUAGUUAAGUUUAUUUACAAGUUUGAUUUAAAAAAAGAAGUUUGAAAAUGCAAUGGCAUAAGGCCAAAGUUUCUAAUUUGUAAAUGGUCUAAUUUAGAAAAUAACAAGUUUAAACAAAGAAGUUAUUAGAAGGAGGGAGAGAUUUUUGAAAUUAAAGAGAUGGGGAGGAGAUG
rnacentral:lncRNA from 1 species